rnacentral:rRNA from 1 species
AACGCGAAGAACCUUACCAGGUCUUGACAUCCCUUGCAUAGCCUAGAGAUAGGUGAAGCCCUUCGGGGCAAGGUGACAGGUGGUGCAUGGUUGUCGUCAGCUCGUGUCGUGAGAUGUUGGGUUAAGUCCCGCAACGAGCGCAACCCUUGUCAUUAGUUGCCAUCAUUCAGUUGGGCACUCUAGUGAGACUGCCGGGGAUAACUCGGAGGAAGGUGGGGAUGACGUCAAAUCAUCAUGCCCCUUAUGCCCUGGGCUACACACGUGCUACAAUGGCCGGCACAAAGAGCCGCAAUGCCGCGAGGCGGAGCAAAUCUCAAAAACCGGCCCCAGUUCGGAUUGCAGGCUGCAACUCGCCUGCAUGAAGUCGGAGUUGCUAGUAAUCGCAGAUCAGAAUGCUGCGGUGAAUGCGUUCCCGGGUCUUGUACACACCG